GUGAUGGAAUAUCUAGACGGAGGCUCCUUAAGAUCUGUGGUUAAGGAAAUAAGCAUGAGUGAAGGACUGAUGGCAGCUGUCUCCCGGGAGUGCCUGCAAGCACUGGCAUUCCUCCAUUGCCGCCAAGUGAUCCACAGGGAUCUCAAAGGUGAUAACAUUCUUCUUGGAAUGGAUGGAUCCGUCAAGUUGGCUGAUUUUGGUCUCGCUGCUCGCAUCACACCUGAGCAGAGCAAACGAAGCUCACUCGUUGGAACAGCACACUGGAUGGUGCCCAAA